rnacentral:lncRNA from 1 species
GUGCGGAAGUCUCAGGAUUCUCCUUCUCCAAACAGCAUUUGGGUGGAAAUACGUUCUGGGGGUUGAACUUGAGUCUUCAGGCAUGGCAGCCAGCUGAGUUACCUGCUGACUCAUCUUACUGGCCCUAUUUUUGGAUUUUAACUCUAUUUUCCAAAGGGUGCCACAUGCACAUCUUGGAGACCGAGUCGACUGGGGUGAUGGGGACUGAUGGACCAGCACAGUUCUUCUUACCAGAGUGUGACGACGACGAGCUCAUU